rnacentral:hammerhead_ribozyme from 1 species
UAGCGAAACAACCAGCCUUUGAUUGAGCGGUUGUCGCCAUGGGGUAGCGCCCACGGCCUGAUGAGCAGCUAUUC